rnacentral:lncRNA from 1 species
CUUCCGCCAUGGAGGUAAAUCUUCAAUGGAGCCAUGGAAGUUUACUGGAUCCCUAAUGGACGUCUACCUAACUUCCGCCAUAGCGGUAAAUCUCCAAUGGAGUUAAGGAAGUUUACUAGACCUCUAAUGGACGUCCAUCUGACUUCCACCAUGGACAUAGACGUCCCAUGGAUCUAUGGAGGUUUAAUGGACGUCCAUUGGACAUCCACUGGAUGCCAAUUUCUAUGUGGGUACUUACUAGGUGACCUACAUUUGUCUCGCAAUAUUAACAUAUUUACAACCAUCAAUAUUAGAAAUCGGAAAUAUUUCCAAAAGUAUCUGCGCUCGUAAUUUAUAUGAAGAGACUAAUUCCGUUAUUUAUACAGUUAAUAAUUAAUUCGAAAAAUAAAUUGGUUUCUGUCAUUUAUAUAUAUUUUUAUAUUACCUAUUGCAGGACUUGAAUCAUGUCCUGCAGCGAGUAGUAUUUGAAAUAUACUAUCGAAUGCGCAAGUAUUAGUGAUAGUAUAAUUGCCAUUAUUUAUACUUAAAGAUUUUAAAGAUAAACUAUUGCCGUUUUUUAAAAUAGGUAUUUUUACAGUUUUUUUACAUGUCAAAGAAUCUAUUAACUUAUGUUGACUUUUACCGAGAUACAAUGCAGUUUUAUUUGGUUUUGUUAUUUCUAAACCACACCAAUUCACCACUUCACGACUUGCCAAAAUGUUCUUUAUAUUUUCUAUAUUUUGACACAUCUUGCAUAAACGACGUUGGCCAUAACCUUCUUCAGCAUCAUUAAAAGGUAAAGAACAUUGAGGUAAUGCGUCAACAUUUUUUUUACAUAAAUAACAAAUGUGUGCAUUUGUUGGUUGAUCAUUAUUUUGGUAUGCGGGACAUGAAUCAUUAUCUACUAAAUUAGUAUUACUUUUAGGCUCGUUUAAAGUUAACGGUACAUGGAAUUCAUCAUCCACAUUAACAAAAUCUGUGUCAACAAUUUUCAUAAUACCAUGUAAAUAAUUAACAUGCUUUUGAAUGAAUGAAUCAAUCCGCAAUAGUGGACAAUUUUUUUACAAUAAAGAUUUUAUUUGAUUAAAUUCACUUUCGACGAACGUACUAGAAGCAAGUAUGCGACCGUAACCAAAUUUAUCCGUGUAAAUAUUACUCCAAAGGGGUAAUAAUCUUAUAUCAAUCAUAAGACGAUCAACUAAUUUUGGAAAAUAAAGUGGAUUAAUUCUAUCACCUUCCAAAGUAAUUAACGAUCUAGCAUCAUUUAAAAUUUGCUUACCCCACAUGGUCCAUGAGUUUUCAAAUGAAUUAUUAUAGCUAUCUGCUUUAGUUACAUUUUCCAUUUCAAAUAUAGCAUUAUUAUUAUUACUGUCGAUUUCAAAGUUUUAUGUUUCUAAUUCAUUAGUAUUAGUCAUUAAAUUUAUUAAUUUAUGAUGUGCCUUAUCACAUUCAGUAAGAUCACCAGUUUUUAAAUUUCCAUCCGUUUCUAACAUUGCUAUUAUAAAAAUGGAUUGUAUUAUUUCUUUUGCAUUUAUAAUAUUUCUAAACAAUAUUAACUGACCAAUUGCACCAAGAUAAAAAAAACAUUUUUGCUCUUUUAUUUAAUAAUUUUAAAAAAUUUGAAUAUUUUUUAAUAUAAUGUGCCACAUCUAUUCUUACCUAACAUUUCGGUAAACUAGAAUUUUUAUAUGCAUUCGCGUAAUCUUCGAUAUUGAGAUAGGCUGUAAAGGCGCGAAUAAUUGCAAUUAAUAGUGCUCUAGAUGAAUCGCAAAUCACUUGUUUAGGUACCGGCGCAGCAGAACGUAACCACUCUGUUAACCAAAAGUGAAUUGAAUUUGCAUUAUGACCUUCGCUUACCAUUUGACAAACACUAAAUUGUACACUUUUGCAAUUAAUGACACAAUGGUAUUAAAAAAAAAUGUUUUGCUGUUGAUCCAUCCGCCUUACAUAAAUGUUUAAUAAUACUGCCGGUUGCAUCGAUAGAUACACAUACAUUGUUUUCUAUGGCGUAUUUUUUAUAAACAUUUAUUAAUUGGUGGUUGCUCCAGUAAUGGACGAAAACGGGAUUUAAUCCAAUAUUAUGGAUUAUAUUUUGCAAUGAUGACGAUUUUAAAAUAACUAAUGCUUUAAGAGCAUCUGGAUUUAUAUAAUCUGCUAUUGUUGCUUCCGAUUUCGCUGCAUGUAAAACAGAUAGACUGAGAAUCGUUUGUUAAAAACUUGGUUGGCAACACUCGAAACAAAUGUUAAACAUUUGUUGCCAACCAAGUUUUUAACAAACAACUCUCAGUCUAUCCAGUAACUUAUACGGGAUCAGAUCGCUAAAGAAUCUUUCUCUAAUCUCAUCGCUAAAUACGUAAAGUGCGUAAACGUUUUAUAAAUUUUAUCAUGCCUCCACGUGGCAGACCGGAAAAUAUACCUCUCGAGUAAAUGAAAGGCAAUUUUACAAUACAAAGAUAUUGUGAAAAACGAUAAUAAGAUCGUUUCGUAAACACAUGAUGUUUGGCAUACUAUAGCGCAAAACUUAAACAAUAAAGUAACUGCAAAUAAUUUAUAUCUGUUUACAAUAGGCAACCGAUACAAUGUGAAAGAUAUUAUUUUUAAUAAAGUAUGUAAAGAUGUUUCGGAAAAACUGGAGUAAAAUUUGUAUAUUUCGGCGUAAGGGACCUUUGUUCUGUCUAGAGGCUUUUGCUAACCAGGGGGGGGGGCGAUGAGUUGAAAAAAAUGUUCCAGCCCCUCUUUAUUGGUUGUGGAGUUAAAAGGGAGUGUUUUUUUAGUUGGUAGGCGCACGUGGCCUCCGGGUCACGGGUGAAUCCAACACGCCAGGGUUAGGUCCGCCUGGUGUCUUUGGAAGAUUUUUCACUCCCUAUAAAAAGGUCGAGAGUCGAUCAAGUGAGGGAGACAAUCAGAUCAUAGAUAUAUAUUUUUUGAUGUAAAUGUUGAUAUGGAUCGAAGACAGGUUAAUAAAAAGAAUGUUUAUUAUCCUCGUUAGAACCAUAAUAAGCUUGACGAAGAUAUGUUUACGGCGUUGCUUGAAGAUAACGUGUGGAUAAAGGAUGCAAAUGAUUCCUUGAAAUUGGAUAGGAGUGUUGAUAGAAUUAUGAAGGGACUUAUUAAAGCAUGAUGGUUCUAUGCCGCGUGUUCGUGGAUCUAGGGCACGCCUUGUUUACUGGUGGAAUGAGGAGAUUGUCGAGACGAGACAAAGAUGCCAGGCUGUUCGUAGAAGAUUGGUUAGGGCUAGAGCACGUAGAAGAACUGCUGAAAUUGAGGAGUUACUGAAACAGCAUAAGUUGAUCAAAAAAGAAUUGUCUAUUAAAAUUGUCAGGGCUAAAGAAAGAUCAUGGCAGGAGCUACUGAAUUCGAUAGAGGAGGAUCCAUGAGGACGUCAUAUAAGAUGGUUAUAGAUAAAUUAAAGAAGUACACUCCUUCGAUCUGUGAGGUAUUAGAGCUGGAUAGUGAGUUUUAUUAAGAAAUUAUUUCCCCAAGGAUGUAUGGGCAUUCGCCGAGUUAAUACGGGACCGAUUUAUGACAUCCUCUCUGUCACGGCUGAAGAGCUCAAGGCGCUAAUACGAGAAUUCAAAGGUAAUAAAAAGACUCCUGGAUUGGAUGGUGUUACGAAUAGUAUACUGGCGAAAUCUGCUGCAAUAUUACUAGAUGAAUGGUGUGCCAUAUAUACGAGAUGUUUUUGGAAGGGAGUCGUUCUUAAAAGAUAAAAGAUAGCUAGGCUGGUGAUGAUCAGUAAGCCCGGUAAACCUGAAAGAAAAGCCUCUUCGUACAGGCCGAUAUGUUUGCUUGAUACGGCUGGUAAGCUGCUGGAGAGUUAUUUCCGGGAGACUAAUUAAGGUUAUAAAAGAUAGAAGAGGAGUAACCCCUUGUCAAUUUGGUUUUACAGAGGGUAGAUCUACAAUUGAUGUUAUAAGAUGCCUGAAGAAAAACAUCGAAGCUGCACACCGUAGAGGAGAGGAUGUGAUGGCGGUCAGUCUUGAUAUAAAGAAUGCAUUCAACUCAAUACUUUGGCCGGUUAUUAUGGAAGUUUUAAUAAAUAUAGGCGCACCUGAAUAACCUGUGGGGGAUUAUUUCCAGUUACCUGCAUGAGAGAUCACUUGUGUUCUGGGAUAGGAAUGGUGAGCGACGAGAGGUCGAGAUGUCAUGUGGAGUAUCUCAGGGCUCUGUACUCGGCCCUUUACUGUGGAACGUGGCACCAGGGACUUACAGAACCGGCUUAGCCCAUUUCCUAAUUUUUCCGGACCGUUUUCCGCAUCAGAUUUCCCCGUAUCUUCCAAACUGCAACCUUGUCACUUUUGUUUUUGACAGGGAGUUGCUUCGAGGGGCGUAACUUCGAAACUACUGGACCCACAGCGGGCAGACUUUGCAGGAGUCAAGUCGACAUUUUGGGCUACAACAUACAAAAAAAUUCAGAUUUUUUGCUCAACUUUUACGAAUUUGGCGCUAUUUCAAACAUUUGUUCCUUUAAUUUUGUCCAGUAGUUUAAUUAGUGCAACAGCUAGACAUAAUAUUUUAAAAACAGUUGAAAAACUGUUGUAUGAAGACAGCAGUGAUGAUAAAUGUGAGAGAUGGCAGUAAGCAGCAAACGUACUUCAAAUACGACUUCUUGUCCGGGAAGAUUUAAACCGCGUUGUAAGAAUUAGAAAUCAUAUCACCAUGACAAUACCAAAUUAUACAGAAAGAUAAUUCAGAGAACAUUUUCGAAUGCCCAGAAAAACAUUUGAAAACUUAGAGCAAAUAUCAACACCUUAUUUAAUAAGAAUAGCAGAAACUGGAAGAAAUACUUUAAAUGUGCGGACACAAUUACUAACAGUUUUGUGGCUACUUGCAACUCCUGAUUCAUUCAGAUCUGUGUCCGUUUUGACAGUAAGUCACUGAUACAUGAUUCCUUAAAGAGAAAGGUGGCUGCCUUAAAUAAUGUAGCCGACAGAUUUAUUAAAUGGCCGGUUGGUGAUCGAUUAAAUGAUAUUAAAUGUCGAUUUUCUCAAAUUAGACUGCUUCCCGAUAUGAUUGGAGCAAUUGACGGAUGCCACAUUGCUAUUCUUGCACCUAAAGUAAGUUAUAAGGAGUGUGUUGCCACUGAGCGCGUCACGUAUUGCGUCAUUUAUUCUAUUGACUUAUUCUAUUGUAUCAUUUUAAGAUACAAAUCUGAAUAAGCCAAUAUAACAGAUUACGCGACGCGUGAUACGCUUAGUGAAAACGCACUCAAACUUGUUUUAAAAUAUUAAUUCAUGUUACAGCGCGUCAAAUAGAUCACACCAAUAGUAAUUAUUUCUAUGUGAUUGUUUUUACACAUGGAGCAAAUAAUGACUUGUUACACGCACGAAACAAACAAUAUCACAUAAACGAACUUUGGCAACCUUUUGCUGCAGACAAAUGCCCGACACUUGCCAGGAAACCCAAAUUGUUUUUCAUACAGGCAGAGGGAAAAAAGUAGAAUUUUCCGUGGUACUCGACCUAUGCAAAAAACGGUUGAUACAUCAAGUCAACGGUAUACUAUACCAGCUCAUGCAGAUUUUCUUUUAAGCCAAAAUUUGGUUACUGGUAAGUGCCAAUUAUCUUAAUAUUUACUUUAAUAAUUUAACUUAAUACUCCAAUCUUAGAUAAUUCUAGAUUUGUAAGAUUCAAUAAUUUUUUUUGCUAAAGAAAAAAAAACUUUAUAAUUUAUAAAAAAUAAUCAGGGUAAAA